UACGUAGGGUGCAAGCGUUGUCCGGAAUUAUUGGGCGUAAAGAGCUCGUAGGCGGUUUGUCGCGUCUGCUGUGAAAACUCGAGGCUCAACCUCGAGACGCCGAUGGAAACCAUCAGACUAGAGUCCGGAAGAGGAGAGUGGAAUUCCUGGUGUAGCGGUGAAAUGCGCAGAUAUCAGGAAGAACACCCGUGGCUAAGGCGGCUCUCUAGUACGGUACUGACGCUGAGACGCGAAAGCGUGGGGGAGCGAACAGG
rnacentral:rRNA from 1 species